AUACGGAGGGUGCGAGCGUUAAUCGGAAUUACUGGGCGUAAAGCGUGCGUAGGCGGUUUGCUAAGUCAGAUGUGAAAGCCCCGGGCUUAACCUGGGAACUGCAUUUGAUACUGGCAGACUAGAGUAUGAUAGAGGGGGUAGAAUUCCUGGUGUAGCGGUGAAAUGCGUAGAUAUCAGGAGGAAUACCAGUGGCGAAGGCGGCCCCCUGGAUCAAUACUGACGCUGAGGUACGAAAGCGUGGGGAGCGAACAGGAUUAGAUACCCUAGUAGUCC
rnacentral:rRNA from 1 species